AGACCUGGCUCAGAUCCAGCAUUGCUGUUGCUGCGGUGUAGGCCAGCGGCUAGAUUCCCAGGCUAGGGGUCGAACUGGACCUGGAGCUUCAGGCUUAUGCCACAGCCCUGGCAGUUCUGGAUCCCAGCUGCAUCUGUGACCCAUGCUGCAGCUUGUGGCAAUGCUGGAUCAUUAAUUCUCUUGUGAGGCCAGGGAUCAAACCCGGAUCCUCACGGUGACUAUGUUGAGUUCUUAACCUGAUGAGCCACAAUAGGAACUCCAUUAUUUUUUUAAUUUUAUGUAAAACAUAUAUGCAAUGAAUUGUACAAAUCUGAAGUUUACAUUCACUGUAUUUUAUUAAGUAUAUACAGUUGUGAAAUGUGAACACUUUUUAAAAUAUAGACAUUACCAUCACUCUAAAACCUUCCCUCAUGGCCCUUUGAGUGUUUCCCACCUCCUACCUUCAGAGAUAAGUUCUGUCCUUAUUUCUUUCUACCACAGGUUAGUUUUCCCUCUUCAAGAAUUUCAUUUGAAUUCUAAUACUACACUAUAUAUUCUUUUGUAAAACUUUUGUUCAGGAUAACAUAUAUUUUUAUAUUAUUCAAGGUGCUGCAUUUAUAAAUUAUUUUAUAUAUUUUUCUUUGUAGAGUAGUAUUCUAUUGUAUAAACAUACUGUAUUUCAUUUAUCAAUUUUCUCUUUGAUGAACACGUGUUAUUAUGAAUAAACUGCUAUAAGUAUAUAGUCUUCUAAUGUGUAUAGGUUUUCAUUUUCUUUACUAAGUACCUAUGAGUAGAAUUGUUGAGUCAUAGGAUAGAUGUAAUGUGUGAAUUUUAUAUGAAAUUGCUAGACUUUUAUUUUCCAAACUGUACCAUAUCAUAUUCCCACAAACAAAACUAGUAUCUCAGUAUUUUCAUCAGCAUUUAUUAGAAAUGAUGGAAAAUGGAAGCAUAAAUUAAUGAGAAAAAUUUGUUAUAUAUUAGUUAUUGUGGAAAUUAGAUCUAAUUCAUAACAAUAUAUUUAACACUAGAUUGCACUGCUUAUUCUAAGUUAAGUUUUAGUACUGAUUUUAUUCAUUGAUUUUGCAUCUCUAAAUCAUUUAUGGUCAUGUAAUUAAAAGGACUAGAGCAUUAUGACUAUAUUAACAAUAAGCACUUUUUUUUUCAUUCAAAAUUUCUUUAAAUAUAUAGGGUUUUUCCUUCUUACCUAGAGAUGUUUCUUUCCUUUAUCAGUCAAUAAAUAAAAAGAUUAGAAAAGUAAUCUCUAAGAAUUGUACUAACAUGAAACUGUGGAGGCAGAAAUGCUCAAUUAAAGAUACAAACUCCUCAUACAAAAGAGCUUAGUUAAGGCUUUGGACAAAGAGCAAUGCUAGAAAUAAUCCCUUUCCUUUAACAUUACUACAUAAAUUUUUAGUUUACCAGUUUGAUAGAGCAAUUAAUAAAAGUCUAUUAGCUAAUCAUUUCAUUUUUAAUGCUAUGUUGGAAGCUUGGCUCUGAGUAUGUUCCAUAUCGAAUAUGGAUGUACACAGCAUUUCAGAGUAGUUUCAGCAAUUGCUGGAUUGGAAAAUAGUGCUAGUAAAAUGAUUUUAAUUCCAUCUACUUAUUUAAACUGGGUGCCUUGCUUUCUCAAGCAGUAUGAUCUUUUCUUUAACUGUGCAGCCUUUCACUAAUGCACUGGUGAGGAUGAUAGAAAACAAUUCAUUGAUAUAAUUGCAGCUAGCCUGUCACACACAACUUAGAAAAGCAGCAAAUCCCACAGCAUGGGGUCCACAUUAUGCAACUCGGCUGGCAUUUAGAUGAGUUCCUUUUCAUUGACAAUAUAUUAACUCUAAUCCUUUAAAGAGUAUAAGUAAUACAUGUGUAAAUCUGCAUUGUACAAAUGUAAAUCUGUUGUCUAACCUCAGUAAUUUUAGUUAUGAAGUAAAUCUAAAGUCGCAAUUAGCUUUGCCAUUUCAGACACUGAAAAGAGCGUAGGGAUCAAGAAUAAGGAACUACUUAAACGAUAAUGAUGUCAUAGAAUUACAUAAUGUAUAGAAUUCUGAUCUGUGUUGGUUAUCUAUUUCUGCAUAAAAAAUCAUCCCAAGAUUUAGCACUUUAAAAAAGCAAGCACGCAUUAUCCCAAAGAUUGAGAGUUAGAUUAGGAGAGUGGUUUAGCGAUUAUUCUAACUCAGUGUCUCUACAGAGGUGACAGUCAGGCUGUUGGCUGGGGCUUGGUCGCCUCCAGGCUUGACUACAUACAGCUGGAGAAGUCACUUCCAAGCUCACACAUGUUGUUCACAGGCCUCAGGUUUUUGUUGGCUGUUGGCUAGCAACCUGUUUUUCUCACUCUUUUGAUAUCUCCAUAGGCUACCUUAGAAAAAAAGAAAGAAUGAGAGAGAGAGUGUGCAAGAGUACCCUAAAUGGGAACCUGAUGCUUCAGACAUUUUUACAUUCUAAUCAUGGAAAUGACAUGGCAUCAUUUCUACCAUAGUCUCUUCCUUUGAAAUGAGUCACUAAAUUCAGCCCACACUCAAACGGAGGAGAAUUGAGCUAUACCUCUUACAGGCAGAAGUGUCAAAUAAUGUGUGGAAAUACUGUUUAAACUACUACAUAGACUUCAACUUUUAAAGAUAGAUGUGAAUUUUCUCCACAUAUUUCAUGUAUGAAAAACUCAAGGCCCAGUGAAAAAUGAUUUUUAUAAAGAAAGACACAUAGUCGUUUUAGAUAGAGCCAGUGUCUCCCAACUAUUUGCUCUUUGAAAAGUGUAUCUCUAUGUGCCUGUUUGCAAACAGAUCUCAUCUAUAUAGACAUCAUCAGAGAAUGUUUAGUUUUUCGAAUAACUGAUAUUUACUCAUUUAAAUGACAAAUGCAUUCUUCUUUCCUGCCUCUCCCAUAGUGCUAUACUGACCACAAUUCACCAAGAUCCACUCAUCAUACAAAGACAUCAUUAAGAAUAUCAUUUAUAGCAUAUGAGCAAACAGUGAUGUAAUCCCAGUCUGUUGCUAUCCUCUACAUUGAUGUGUCAGGUCUACAGUGUCAGGGGAGGGUGAAGGCUACAAAUGUAAGCCUGGGAUGAGAUUACAAAGGACCCGAUAUGCCAUGAUAAGAAGUAUGAUGUAUUCUCUGAGGUCAGUGGGAUUUCAUGGGUUUGUUUUGCAGGGAAAUGACAUCGUCUUGCAUUUAAAAAUACUAUGCUAAUGAACAUAUGAAAAA
rnacentral:lncRNA from 1 species